GGGCGAAAGCCUGAUGGAGCAACGCCGCGUGAGUGAAGAAGGAUUUCGGUUCGUAAAACUCUGUUGUAAGGGAAGAACAAGUACAGUAGUAACUGGCUGUACCUUGACGGUACCUUAUUAGAAAGCCACGGCUAACUACGUGCCAGCAGCCGCGGUAAUACGUAGAUGGCAAGCGUUGUCCGGAAUUAUUGGGCGUAAAGCGCGCGCAGGUGGUUUCUUAAGUCUGAUGUGAAAGCCCACGGCUCAACCGUGGAGGGUCAUUGGAAACUGGGAGACUUGAGUGCAGAAGAGGAUAGUGGAAUUCCAAGUGUAGCGGUGAAAUGCGUAGAGAUUUGGAGGAACACCAGUGGCGAAGGCGACUAUCUGGUCUGUAACUGACACUGAGGCGCGAAAGCGUGGGGAGCAAACAGGAUUAGAUACCCUGGUAGUCCACGCCGUAAACGAUGAGUGCUAAGUGUUAGGGGGUUUCCGCCCCUUAGUGCUGCAGCUAACGCAUUAAGCACUCCGCCUGGGGAGUACGGUCGCAAGACUGAAACU
rnacentral:rRNA from 1 species